rfam:Pteropus alecto contig13006, whole genome shotgun sequence.
GUCUAUGGCCAUCUACCCUGAACAAGCCUGAUCCUGUCUGAUCUCGGAAGCUAAGCAGAUUCGGGCCUGGUUAAUACUUGGAUGGGAGACCACCUAGGAAGACCAGGUGCUGUAGGUG